rnacentral:rRNA from 1 species
CCGGCGCACGGGUGCGUAACGCGUAUGCAACCUACCUUUCACAGGGGGAUAGCCCGAAGAAAUUUGGAUUAAUACCCCAUAAUAUUAUUGGAUGGCAUCAUUUGAUAAUUAAAAUUACGAUGGUGAAAGAUGGGCAUGCGUCCUAUUAGCUAGUUGGAGUGGUAACGGCACCCCAAGGCUACGAUAGGUAGGGGUCCUGAGAGGGAGAUCCCCCACACUGGUACUGAGACAGGGACCAGACUCCUACGGGAGGCAGCAGUGAGGAAUAUUGGUCAAUGGUCGGAAGACUGAACCAGCCAUGCCGCGUGCAGGAAGAAUGCCUUAUGGGUUGUAAACUGCUUUUAUAUGGGAAGAAUAAGGAGUACGUGUACUUUGAUGACGGUACCAUAUGAAUAAGCAUCGGCUAACUCCGUGCCAGCAGCCGCGGUAAUACGGAGGAUGCGAGCGUUAUUCGGAAUCAUUGGGUUUAAAGGGUCUGUAGGCGGGCUAUUAAGUCAGGGGUGAAAGGUUUCAGCUUAACUGAGAAGUUGCCUUUGAUACUGGUAGUCUUGAAUAUCUGUGAAGUUCUUGGAAUGUGUAGUGUAGCGGUGAAAUGCUUAGAUAUUACACAGAACACCGAUUGCGGAGGCAGGGGACUAACAGGCGAUUGACGCUGAGA